rnacentral:tRNA from 1 species
CCGGGGUGCACAGCUGGGACGUGUGCGCCGGCGCGCUGCUGGUGCGGCAGGCCGGCGGGGUGUACCGGUCGUUCACCCCGGGC